rnacentral:lncRNA from 1 species
GGCUCUUACAUGAACCCCAAAAGGAAGCAGCAUGAUCCUCAUGUUUCCGGUGAGGAGACCAUGAGGAGAUGCAGUCACCUCCUCAGGCCGCCCUGCUAGUUGGCGUUGAGGACAGGCUGCGCACCUCCCCGCUCUGUGGGCAGGUGUGCUCAGCCUUGCCAGGUUGUUACACAGUUUCCAAGACAUUGCAACAUUGUUGCUAUCAAGUAACAGUGAGAUAAAGAGGACUGCCCUGCAAGCUACCACAGCCAGAGGCUGGGUUCCUUCUAAAUGGUGGGGGAGUGAGAAGCCUGUGGGCCAUGGAGCUCUGGGAAGCUUCCAGAACAUCAGGCUUGAGCCGCCCUGGCCACAUUCAUGUGUUCCACUGCCACGUGUGCCAGUGACUACUGUCGGGAUGUGCCAGGUCUAGGACAUUCCCACCGCUGCGGAAAACUGCGCUGCUUCUCCUGUGGCUGCUUCUGCCACGUGGCCUUGAAGGAAACCCACGCUCCAGGGAGGCUGGGCAUUGCCUGCCCCUGGACCCCAGUCGGAGUCCCCCCUGGUGGCUGCCUGGGCCUCAGCCACGGCCCCUGAGCAGCUUCCAGCAUCCCGAAGGCUCUGCCCCAGGUCCGAGGCCAUUCCACGGUCGCUCCCUGCUUCCUCUCCUCCUCCGCUCCCCUUGCUUGUGUCCUUGGCAAUGCCCUGCCCCAGUUUCUGCCCCAGAGCCGCUGGCCAGAAAUGGCUGAGGUUCGUAGCUGGAGGAAGUGGGCCUGGGCUGACGAGGUGGCACCACUUUGUCCUGGAACAUCCCGCCCCUUGGCCUGGGUUCCGCUUGGGAAACAGGCGAGGUUCGAAAGGUGAGUUUUUAGAAUUGUCCAAUGGCAAGCUGUGACAGUUGUGUGUACCCUGGAGCUCAUCCCACCGUGGAAAACUCUGGGAAUGUCUGUCUCCACAGUCCUCGGCAAGCGGCCCCAAUAGUGGCAUUGUUUCAAGCUUUUGGAAUAUUGUUUUUGGGAAAUAAAGUGACUCCUGCUCAUUUAGCUGUGCCAACUCACUUGUUUGUCUUAUUCUUUUUGCUCAGCAGGUGGCAUUUUUGUUCAGUGAUUUUAUUUGUAUCCGCCCGUGUUCAUCAACUAUGACAUAUUAAUCAUGCAAAUUAGGAUAUGAUUAAUGAAGGAAAAAUUAAUUCCGCCACUGCAUCUGGGUCUGCUGUGACAGCUUAGUGAAUGCCCUCAUUCUCUGAUGCCAUCAGCAACUUCUCCAGGGCCGCUGCCGAUUGAUAUAUUAAUGUUUAGGGUAAAGGUUAGGGACCGAAGCCCAGAGAGACUUUCCUCUCCAGGGCUGGUGUUACAAGCACAUAUUUGCCUGACAGUGCACAUUUUUGAGACAGCGUGUUGCUAAACCCCGUCCUCCUUCCCACUGUGUGAACAGUUUGUAGGAGGAGGGAGUUCGCUCUGUCUUUCGGUGUCUUCUAGACUGAAGCCCACUGUGUCCAGGGCAAGCUCCCCGACCAACUCUGACUCUUGCUGUUUCCAAGGUCCCAGCUUCUUGUUUUCCAGAUGCUAUUUGCAGACCACGCAGUGACCCAUUCGUCCUUGGUAAGUGCUCCUUCUCCUCAGGACUCUGCUCUGGAAACAUGAGCUAGGGCUGCAAUAAGUUUAUCUUCAUGAUACAGAGUCCUGCAGAUAAUUUAAAUGAGUGCCCCACAUCAUUUUCUCCCAUUGCCCUCUGGUUAACCCUGAUUUCCACCCCGCACCCGGAGCUGAGCCGUGAUCUGCUUAUUCCUAUCUGCUUUCACUCAUGUGCUCCGGUAAGUCAGGUCCACAAACAGAAUGUUUUCUUGGAACUUGGAUAACCUUGCCCUGUGCACCAUGGGAACACCCCCUGGGAGAGAUUGUGCCAUUCCGGAGACUCCCUAGGUCACACUACCUCUGUCAGAGGACUUGGCUGGACCUGAGAGAGCGAGUGGGCAGUGGAGUACUGCUGGGUUAGGGUCUCCCUGACCUAGCUGGUCUCAGCAAGUGGCGUCCAUCGUGGGGACUCAAAUCCAGGUCGAAGGGUUGCCAGAACAAUGGUUGGAGUGGAAAACUAGCUGGAGGACACUCGAGUACUCUUAAAGCAAUCCCUGUGGCCAAAAUCAACAGCCGAUUUGGAUACCAUCAAGACACCUGAAACCUUAUCAUGAGCCAGAUGCAGAGGAAGAGAUUCCAGGAGGAUCCCGAGGACCCCCGGUUGCAGCCAUGUCAAGACUGACGCUGCGGAGGACCCCAACUGUCACGAGCAACACCCAUCGAACACAGCCACCCACCUGGGGACAGAACAGGAAGCUGUCACAGAUGGCGGAAGAAAACCUGAGGAAAGCGGGACAACCAGUCACAAUGAAUAAUUUAAUGAUAGCUCUGAUAGCGGUUAUCACCACCGCCUCUGCAGAUGUGGAUCCUGACUCCUGCAAGAAGUAGCUCACCGUGACAAAGCUGCCUUUGCUUUUAUCGAUUUGCAAAUCAGAGAAGGGGGACAUAUUGGGAGCAGGCCCCCCAAAAUCUGGCCAUAAACUGGCCCCAAAACUGGACUGGCCAUAAACUGGCCCCAAAACUGGACU